UACAGAGGUCCCAAGCGUUGUUCGGAUUCAUUGGGCGUAAAGGGUGCGUAGGUGGCGCCGUAAGUCGGGUGUGAAAUUUCGGAGCUUAACUCCGAAACUGCAUUCGAUACUGCGGUGCUUGAGGACUGGAGAGGAGACUGGAAUUCAUGGUGUAGCAGUGAAAUGCGUAGAGAUCAUGAGGAAGACCAGUGGCGAAGGCGGCUUACUGGUCCGGUUCUGACGCUGAGGCGCGAAAGCGUGGGGGAGCAAACAGG
rnacentral:rRNA from 1 species